GACAGUGGAGACCACAGCGUUAGGAAAGAACUCUAACUUGCUGCUUUAUCUUUUCCCUUGAAAAUUCCUGGCCAAUGGAAAGUGCUUCAUAAAUAUUUUUGGAAUGAAGGCAUGAAUGAGUAAAACCAUAUUGGGAGUGAGGGUUGGAAGAAAAAGAAUUGUGACAGUGGUAACUGUCCAGAUAUUAGUCAGUUCUCAGGCUGUGAAAAUGUCCAACUCAAGGCAUCAACAGGAUGAUACCUAGACUCUGAAGACAGGCUGCUGGUGUUACUGGAAAGCUGCUACAUUCCCGGUUUGGUGUCUCGUCAUGAGAAGGAAUUCAAGGAUGAGACAUGCAGGGUGCUUUCCUGAGUGGGAGAGAAAAGGAUAGAAGUAUAUUUCGGGUGCCAGGACUUGUGUAUAAUCUGUGCGGUUCAUAAUCUGAGUAUGCCCAUUUCAUGUACAUGUGAAUGCUUUGCCAGAUGUCUGUGAAGCAGAUUAAUAAAACAAGGGUCUGUAUAGUCUAAUUUAUAUUUACAGAUGUAAAAAAGAAAAGUCAUUUUUAGUAUUCUCAUUGUUAAUGGAAUUUGAUGUAAUAAAAUGGUCAACUCUUUCCAAGAUGUGGCAAGACAUUUAUGUUGGAGGUAAACCUCUAUAUGGUUUCUUGGAUUCUUUUAGUCACCUCUUUUCUCUGGAGAUGCUGCCUUCUUCCACAUUCUGCUACCUUUGCUGGCUCCCUUGCUUUCCGGAGUCUGAGAUGAUGCCCUGGGCCUCUCUGGCUUUCACACCCCAAA